GCAGGUUGAAGCGCGGGUAAGACCGCGUGGAGGACCGAACCCACCUGGGUUGAAAACCGGGGGGAUGACCUGGGGCUAGGGGUGAAAGGCCAAUCAAAUUCCGUGAUAGCUGGUUCUCUCCGAAAUGCAUUUAGGUGCAGCGUCGGUCGAUUGCGUCGCGGGGGUAGAGCUACCGGAUGCUUGCGGGCCCUUGUUGGGUACCAACAGCAGCCGAACUCCGAAUACCGUUGACGUGUAUUCCGGCAGUGAGUCGGCGGGGGAUAAGCUCCGUCGUCGAGAGGGAGACAGCCCAGACCGUCGUCUAAGGUCCCGAAGCGUGUGCUAAGUGGGAAAGGAUGUGGAGUCGCAUAGACAGCCAGGAGGUUGGCUCAGAAGCAGCCAUCCUUGAAAGAGUGCGUAACAGCUCACUGGUCUAGUGGUUCCGCGCCGACAAUGUAGCGGGGCUCAAGCACACCACCGAAGACGCGGCAGCAAUCUUCAUGGUUGCUGGGUAGGAGAGCGUCCUGCGAGGGGCGAAGCGGCCGGGUGACCGUGCCGUGGACUUCGUGGGAGUGAGAAUGCAGACAUGAGUAGCGAGAGACGGGUGAGGAUCCCGUCCGCUGGAUGACCAAGGGUUCCGGGGCCACGUUCGUCGUCCCCGGGUGAGUCGGGUCCUAAGGCGAGGCCGACAGGCGUAGUCGAAUGGAUGAACGGGUGGAUAUUCCCGUACCGACCAUGGACCGGCAAAACCGAGACGGUGAGUACUAACCUCCGCCUCGUGGUGGUUCCUUCCUUCGGGUUGGUAUCGCCGCGUGGCGUUGGGAGCGUAGCCGCAGUAGGUCAGCGCAGGGGUGACACGGAAUGGGAGCCGGCCGCGGAGGUGGUUUUCCGUGGUCAAGCACGCAGCCAGUCAUGUAGGCAAAUCCGCAUGGCGCGCAUGGCGAGGUGUGAUGAUGGGAGCCGUUAUGGCUCGAUAUCCGGUUGUCCAGGCCGUCGAGAAAAGCCUCGGCGUGAGGGCCAUGGCCGCCCGUACCCCAAACCGACACUGGUGGUCAGGUAGAGAAUACCAAGGCGAUCGAGCGAAUCCUGGUCAAGGAACUCGGCAAAUCACUCCCGUGCCUUCGGUAUAAGGGAGACCCACUGGGGUGAAGGACCUUGCGUCCGGAGCUUUGGUGGGUGGCACAGACCAGGGGGUAGCGACUGUUUACCAAAAACACAGGUGCAUGCGAAGGCGAAAGCCGCUGUAUAUGCACUGACGCCUGCCCGGUGCCGGAAGGUUAAGAGGAUCCGUCAAUCCCUUCGGGGACGAAGCGGUGAAUUCAAGCCCCGGUAAACGGCGGUGGUAACUAUAACCAUCCUAAGGUAGCGAAAUUCCUUGUCGGGUAAGUUCCGACCUGCACGAAUGGCGUAA
rnacentral:rRNA from 1 species